GUAAAUGCUGUGAAAAGGAGUAGUACACUGUAAAUAAAAGCACAGAGAAAAGAUGGGCUGGUGAAAAUCUUUGUUUUAUUGCUGUGGAAGUAGUCUUGGAGCUAUGACGCGAAAGGAAGUAUUUUCUGAGUAGUAUUCAUCGGGUUUUCCCGUUAUAGAAAUGAUGUAUUUUACUAUUUUUAAAAAUAGUUUUGUACAAAUAAAGAGUGCAGAAAAUUUUUUUCUGAAUUUAGGUGGUACCACGAAUAAAAUCGCCCUAAUC
rnacentral:ncRNA from 1 species